rnacentral:pre_miRNA from 1 species
AGUGCAACUAAUAGAUCAUAUGGUAAGGCAUUUUAUAAGAAACCUUGAGACUGCUUUCUAAAGCCACUGUACCAUUUUGUAUUUCCACUAGCAAU